AUUCAGCCGACGAGUCCCAAAUGGGAAGAAACGCGCGUCCUGCAU
rnacentral:hammerhead_ribozyme from 1 species